rnacentral:lncRNA from 1 species
UGUUGCAGCAAUAUGGCAGGAAGUAAAGUAUUUUUUCCACAGGAAUUCAGCUUUAGUUGAUUUCUCUAAGGUUUCCAUUGCAUACAUUGAAUACAUUACAAUCUAAAUAUAAAUAAGAAAUCUGUUGAAAGGCAAUGGCAAAAGAUACUGCUGAGAGAUAGUUUAGCACUGCCUUCAUAGGAUUAUCUUGCCUUAAAAUUUCCUUUCUGUGGUGGAGUGGUACAGGACUGGGGGAAAUGCAAAUAUAAAGGCAAAUCAUUAAAAGAAAUAUUCUUGUUUUCAUUCCUUUUACUUUUUCUUUAAGACCAAACAUGAAACAAGGGUUCUCAAUGCUUGCUUUCUAAGAGAAGGGUGACAGUGUUCACCAAGAACUUAACCACAGCCUCACAGCCUCCAGCACAGAUCAUGGAGUCUUCAAAAAGCUUUGGCCAGUAACCCCGAAGCUCCUGGCAUGCAAAAAAGGCAGGCAAGUGGGAAAGAAGAGAGAAAUAGUAUGAGGUGCCCCUAGGAUAUGCUUCCAUAUUGUCCAAGUAAACAUUGUGGGAAAGACAUUUUGACUACUACACAAAUCACUAGAAACUCAUUCAGACAAAAUCUAGAACAGGGUUGGCAAUUUAAAACCAACUGUGUCACCAAUUUGCUACCUUAGACACGGUACCAACAUUGCUCAUCAGCCUAAGCCCAUUCCUUCUACUUCCUCUCAACAGAACAUUCCAGAAGCUGCCCCCAGUCAAUUAGGGUCAGCAGGUGAGAUGUCACUACUCUGCCACUCUAGACCCUAAAGAGUUACUCAAUUAUCUAUAGUAAUCUAUAUUUUAAGGAAUUUAGGAGGACUUGCAGAGCUCUGGUAUGCUUCCCAAUUACUUACCAAGAAAUGCCCUGCCACCUAUUUUGAAGACACUGGACAACUGAAAACACGUUCACAAAACUUUGGGAAGCAAUUUCUAUGAAAUAUUUUCGGCUUAUGGAAUUUAGUUUAUCACUGCCAUAAUUUGACUAUAAUUGAUGCAUUAUAAGGACAUGAUAUUAAGACCUUCUUACAUGGGGAAGGCCUAGAAAAAGUGGAAAAAGAGUUUGAACCCUUUAGAGAAAGCUGCUGGAAACUCUCCACAGAAGUUUCCAGACCCAGAGUGAGUGCCUCGUUGCAAUGAGGAUGCUCAGAAUUACCUCAUUUCAGGACUUACUAGCCACUCCCAGAAAAGGUCCACUGCUAGAUCCUUGGAGAAAGAAUGUAUUUUUAACUUUCAUUUUUCCAUUUAUAUACAAAACAGAUAUUCAAUGUCAAAAACUGUAAAGGAGAGAGAGAAAAGUUAUAAAGAAGAAAGUAAAAAUCAUUUGUCACUAUCUUUGAAAAACUCUAUUAAUAGUAUUUAGGCAGAUAUUUUAAGUACAAAUUGAUAAUCAAAAUAUAUAACUGUGUUAUACCUGCUAGAAAGGCCAUUCUUAUAGGAGUUCCCUGCCUUCAAGCACAAUUUUGUCUGUUGACUAAAGUGUUUUAAGGUUAAGAAGUUCCUUUCUCACCAAACUGAAUCCCUCAAGCUCAAAAACCAUAAAAGAACAAACUGGUACAUGGCUUUUAAAGCUCAGGUUUGUGUUCUUUGAAUUUUCCAUUAGAAAAAAAGAUAUGUUUUUAUUUGGAACAGGAUCCAGAAACUUAAAUCAGAACUAACAAAAUGUCCCAAUUGGUCAGUUCCAUUUACUUUAGCAGUUUCAGGGUUUUUAAGAUUUGGUUUCUUUUAACAAAUCCAUUUGAUUCUCUUCUCCCCAUUCCCUCAUCCAUCCCUUUUUAAAGGAUUAACUGUGUUUCAGUAUUUCUCUAAUGCAAAAUUAUAUCAUUACCUGCAGUCAAGUGACAGCAGCCUGAUGUUUAAAUCACAUGGUUGUUAUAACAAUGGGCAUUGAAACACAGGAGAAUGAAUAAAGUCCUCAUUGGACUAUAAUUUCCAGUGUUUUUGGCACUCUUGGUCCACCUGAAGAAAGGAUGAGACUUUAGGAAGUGUGUUUGUUUACAUUCAGCAACUGUUCUAACUCUCUAGUGGAGGAACACUUGGACAAGGAAGGUCUCUGUUCCCUUUCUAAUGUUGGACAUUUCUGUGUCCUUCCCUGCACAUGCUGAGAAACAAGAACUGCCCACUCACUCAGUUUUUUGGAUCCCUGUGUUUUGUGAGAAGGGGCAAUGUUCUCCUUACCAGUCUAGGGUCAGAAACCACUCAAUGACAGUGAAAGAGAACCUACAGGAGAUUUACUUUCAGGAAACCAAAUCUGCCAGUGAGAUAGUUAAACUUGUCCUGAUGGAGUGAAAAAGCAGAUACAGCCAGGAGGUAUGUCCGAUGUGAACAGGUGCAAGACUCUCACAAGAUGCUGGUUCUCCUCUUGCUAAAGACCAAUGACAACAGAGUGAAGAGGGGACCAUUCUGGUGAUGUUUCCAUGACAGCACAUGAAACCCCGAAACCCCAAAUCUUGUGAGAAGAGCUGCCAAACCUUUGAAAACACCACAACCACAGGGACUCCUAAAGCUUUUAGUAGAGUAUCCCCCUUUACCCCCCAGAAGAAAAGUAUUCAAUUGACCCAUCUAGUUAAAUGAACUAUUCACCUUCUGCUCUUGUGGUCUAUAAUUGUCAUCCCAUUGCUUAGGAAUCAAGGAUGCAUCCAUGCAGGGACCCAGCUAAAAGCAAGGAGAAGGAAAAUUAAUUUGUAUCUAGCUUAUCUUUUUUGAGUAAGCCAUGAAACAACUGCAUACUUUAUGUCUUGGAUCAACAAGGGAGCCAUGCCAAAUGUCAGAUUAAAUAUUCCACAGCUGAAGUGUUUGCAUAGCUUUUCAGUGGCUACCAUUUAAAGAAAGAAAAACAAUGAUGGGACUUAAAAAAAAAAUACUCCCUUAGCUUCACAUGCUCACAGUGUACUGCCAGCAAUUGCUCUCAACUUGGAAGGCCAGGCCAUGCGUAUCUUGUCCGUGGAGUGUCGGUGCCAGCUGGCAAGCAGAACCCUGUGCUUCCAUUCCCUCCAGGAGCAUGAAGCCCCACUGUGCAUCUUGAAGGCCACAGCCGCACUGCUGUAUUGUUUAACCCAUAACUGCUCUGGCUAAGGAGCAAGUCAUAUAAAGAAGGAAUUUCCUGGUUCUUGAAGUGUCUAUCAUGUUUCACCAAUGAGUUUGCAUUCGCCGCAUGUGUUUUCAGUUUGGGUUGGCUCUGUGGGGAUGCCGAGGAAACUGGAGACAGAUCUUUAUUGAAACAGAAUAAUAAGUCUGAACAAAUCAGCUUUAUUGUCAUUGGCUCUGGUGUGGUUUGGAUUAAUUUCAGCUUUAUAUUUCUAAAGGAUUGCUUAAGAGGUGAUGCUCUCCAAUUCCAGGUUAUGUAAAGGAAGGGAGAGAACUGACAUACCUUAAGUAACUACUAAGUGUCAGGAGCUUGCCUGCAUUAUCUCAAUUACUUUUCCUAACAAUCCAAUAAAGUCGUUGUUCCUCCAUUCAUCUUACUGAUGAGAAAACGGAGGUGCUGAGAGGGUCAUUCACUUGCCUGAUGUAGCACAGUUAGGAAUACAGCUGUGGAGUACAAUUGGUUUGUUUCAUCUUAGAUCUGCUGAUCAUUUUCUGUGACCUUGGGCAAGUCACUUCACCUCUCUGCUCUAACUUUCGCAUCUUCAAAACGUGAAUGAUAAUGAGAAUCCUUCACAGAGAGUUAAAGAAAGCAAUGUGUGUAAGGUGAUCAGUGCAGGUAACUGGUCAAUAAAUUCAGCCAUUGUUAUAUGACAGUGCGGAGACUGAAACCUAGUGCAGCUCCCUUCCAAGCUGGUGCUGAUUUCCCUCACCAGUCUAGAGAUCAGUGCCACCCUUCUCCAUGGGGAAGGUUUAGGUGGAACUGAUACUCGAGAGACUAAAAUUACAGGGUGAUUUAACAUCCUUGCUUUAAAAGUAUAUUCCCUAUUGGGGCAAACAAAGCCUGUAGUUCUGGCUCAGGCUUGUAUUUUGGAAAAAAAAAAAAAAAAAAAAAAAAGCUCUCUGAAAAGGAAGUAGGAGAAGAGAGAAGUGAUGUGAGAUGUGGAAGUUGCAGGGCUGUCAUCUCACUGUCCUGGCCAGUUGCUUGGAUUCAGGAUGAAAAAAGGAAAAGUUGCCUGGUAAUAUGUUUUCUCAUGACAGCUGAUGUCUAGUCUGUUCACUGCAGCAAAAGUGGAGCUUAACCGAUGAUUUUUAACAGGCAUCACCAUCAUAAUGCCUGGCAUCCUGGUGCUCAAACCCCACCUGAGUGCUUCCCACGUGCCAGGCUUUCGGCUGGCCUUGGGAUACAGAGAUGAGUAAGACAUGGUCCCAGUUCUUGCAGAGCUCCCAGAUGAGUGAUCAAAUGAGCCUUAGAGCACAGAGAUCUUGCUCACCAUAGAGAGAAACUAUUUAUAUUCUAGACCCUGUAGAAUCAUCCAGAAGGAAGCCUUGUACACAUCAUUAUCUAUCACAUAACCAGGAAUUUUUGAAGCUUUGUGAAGCAGCUUAGGUAACUUUUAAAACAAUCCUCAGUGAGAAAACAAAUUCCACAAGUAGGAGGGAGGCCGCCCAUAAUGCAACCAACUUGGUUAAUCACUUGGAAGUUCUUCCAGUCUUGCGAGGACUUCUUGGGCACUAGUUGUACCAAUAACUAACCCCAAGGAAUUGGACUCAGAAGAGCAAUACAAAUUGCAGCCUUGCCACUUACGAGCUGAGAGAUCUUAGCCAAAAUAACUCAAUCUGUCUGAGUUGUAUUUUUUAUCAGUCGACUGAAGAUGAAUAAUAUUCAGGCUACAAGUUUAUCAAAGAGUUAAUAGGAAUUUUCUGGAUUUGGAAAGAGGCGUCAGUUUCAACCUGACCUUUCAAUACAGCUUCUGCAGCUUGAACGCACAUGCACCACUUGGGCUGAUGUCUUCCAAGAAGGUGUGGACUCUGAGCAAUAGUCUGGCUAUGGGAAGAGAUGGAGUCCAUGUUGCCUCGCCUGGUCUUGGACUAUUGGCCUCAAGCGAUCAUCCUACCUCAGCCUCUCAAAGUGCUAGCAUUCAAGCUCACAAACAAGAGUUUUGAACCUAGGCAGGCUAAGCAGUGAUCUUGAGGACUGAAAGGGGAAACUGCUGUCAAUUAAUAGGACAUCAAACACCCAUACUCUACUGGAAAAAUGUGUCCACAGACAUUUGCUUGAGAGGAGGAGGUGGCUGGUGAAGAGCCCUAUGGUUGCUCUCCUGUGUCUUCACUCUUAGCAGCUACAACAUGCACAAGAUUCAGUGCAUUCAAUAAUUAGUUCUCAGCAUCCUGUGAACUGGCGAUCUAUUUCCAGAAUGAUUUAGUGCAGUUUCCUCUAAGUCCAUGCUAAAAGAGGAAAUAAUUAGGCUCAGAAGCAUUUAACUUAAAACUGGUGUUUCUACUUAUCUACAAUGACUGUGCUAAUUAGGCCUCUCAUAAAUUUCUCUGACAUACUUCACUCUACAACCUCGAGCCUUUACCUCAUGUGUUCCCCUGGGAUCUAGAAUGGUGCUGGAAAACCACUGAGAUGGGAGCCUCUUAGUCUGGACUCCCUGGAGGAAGAGUAAUUCACUUAAGGUUACGACACUCUUAUAUAAACAUAUUCAAACAUGAUUUUUUUUUUUUUGCCCUAACUGCAUAUUCAAGUCAAUCUGCUAGGGGUAAAAAAAUGUUGGCCUAGGCCGGGCGCGGUGGCUCACGCCUGUAAUCCCAGCACUUUGGGAGGCCGAGGCGGGCGGA